CGAAGGGUGCAAGCGUUGCUCGGAAUUAUUGGGCGUAAAGGGUAGGUAGGUUGUCUUGUUUGUCUGAGGUGAAAUCCCAUGGCUUAACUGUGGAAGUGCCUCAGAAACGGCAAGACUAGAGUCCUAGAGGGGUUUGUGGAAUUCCCGGUGUAGCGGUGAAAUGCGUAGAGAUCGGGAGGAACACCAGCGGCGAAGGCGGCAAACUGGAUAGGAACUGACACUCAACUACGAAAGCGUGGGGAUCAAACAGGAUUAGAUACCCUGGUAGUCCACGCUGUAAACGAUGGGUACUAGGCUUUGUGGGAAUAGACCCCUGCAGAGCCGGAGCUAACGCAAUAAGUACCCCGCCUGGGAAGUACGGUCGCAAGACUA
rnacentral:rRNA from 1 species